AACACGUAAACAACCUGCCUUCAGGAUGGGGCCCUUAAAAGGAAACGACUGCUAAUACCGAAUAAGUUCCAAGGGCCGCAUGGCCCAUGGAAGAAAAGGUGGCCUCUACCUGUAAGCUAUCGCCUGAAGAGGGGUUUGCGUCUGAUUAGCUGGUUGGAGGGGUAACGGCCCACCAAGGCGACGAUCAGUAGCCGGUCUGAGAGGAUGAACGGCCACACUGGAACUGAGACACGGUCCAGACUCCUACGGGAGGCAGCAGUGGGGAAUCUUCCGCAAUGGGCGAAAGCCUGACGGAGCAACGCCGCGUGAGUGAUGACGGCCUUCGGGUUGUAAAACUCUGUGAUUUUUUACGAAAAGGCAGAGUGCGAAGAACAAACUGCAUUGACGGUACCGGAAAAGCAAGCCACGGCUAACUACGUGCCAGCAGCCGCGGUAAUACGUAGGUGGCAAGCGUUGUCCGGAAUUAUUGGGCGUAAAGCGCGCGCAGGCGGCUUCCCAAGUCCCUCUUAAAAGUGCGGGGCUUAACCCCGUGAUGGGAAGGAAACUGGGAAGCUGGAGUAUCGGAGAGGAAAGUGGAAUUCCUAGUGUAGCGGUGAAAUGCGUAGAGAUUAGGAAGAACACCGGUGGCGAAGGCGACUUUCUGGACGAAAACUGACGCUGAGGCGCGAAAGCG
rnacentral:rRNA from 1 species